GUGCCAGCCGCCGCGGUAAUACCGGCAGCACGAGUGAUGGCCGAUCUUAUUGGGCCUAAAGCGUCCGUAGCUGGCUGCGCAAGUCCGUCGGGAAAUCCACUCGCCCAACGAGUGGGCGUCCGACGGAAACUGCACAGCUUGGGACCGGAAGGCUCGAAGGGUACGUUCGGGGUAGGAGUGAAAUCCCAUAAUCCCGCACGGACCACCGAUGGCGAAAGCACUUCGAGAAAACGGAUCCGACAGUGAGGGACGAAAGCCAGGGUCUCCAACCGGAUUAGAUACCCGAGUAGUCC
rnacentral:rRNA from 1 species